rnacentral:rRNA from 1 species
GACGAACGCUGGCGGCGUGCCUAAUACAUGCAAGUAGAACGCUGAAGAGAGGAGCUUGCUCUUCUUGGAUGAGUUGCGAACGGGUGAGUAACGCGUAGGUAACCUGCCUUGUAGCGGGGGAUAACUAUUGGAAACGAUAGCUAAUACCGCAUAACAAUGGAUGACACAUGUCAUUUAUUUGAAAGGGGCAAUUGCUCCACUACAAGAUGGACCUGCGUUGUAUUAGCUAGUAGGUGAGGUAAUGGCUCACCUAGGCGACGAUACAUAGCCGACCUGAGAGGGUGAUCGGCCACACUGGGACUGAGACACGGCCCAGACUCCUACGGGAGGCAGCAGUAGGGAAUCUUCGGCAAUGGGGGCAACCCUGACCGAGCAACGCCGCGUGAGUGAAGAAGGUUUUCGGAUCGUAAAGCACUGUUGUAAGUCAAGAACGGGUGUGAGAGUGGAAAGUUCACACUGUGACGGUAGCUUACCAGAAAGGGACGGCUAACUACGUG